rnacentral:rRNA from 1 species
GAUGAACGCUGACAGAAUGCUUAACACAUGCGAGCCAACUUGAACUUCGGUUUGGGUGGCGGACGGGUGAGUAACGCGUAAAGAACUUGCCUCACAGAUAGGGACAACAUUUGGAAACGAAUGCUAAUACCUGAUAUUAUGAUUAUAUGGCAUCGUAUAAUUAUGAAAGCUAUAUGCGCUGUGAGAGAGCUUUGCGUCCCAUUAGCUAGUUGGAGAGGUAACGGCUCACCAAGGCGAUGAUGGGUAGCCGGCCUGAGAGGGUGAUCGGCCACAAGGGGACUGAGACACGGCCCUUACUCCUACGGGAGGCAGCAGUGGGGAAUAUUGGACAAUGGACCAAGAGUCUGAUCCAGCAAUUCUGUGUGCACGAUGAAGUUUUUCGGAAUGUAAAGUGCUUUCAGUUGGGAAGAAAAAAAUGACGGUACCAACAGAAGAAGUGACGGCUAAAUACGUG